AACGAACGCUGGCGGCAUGCCUAACACAUGCAAGUCGAACGAGACCUUCGGGUCUAGUGGCGCACGGGUGCGUAACGCGUGGGAACCUGCCCUUAGGUUCGGAAUAACUCCCCGAAAGGGGUGCUAAUACCGGAUAAUGUCUUCGGACCAAAGAUUUAUCGCCUUUGGAUGGGCCCGCGUUGGAUUAGCUAGUUGGUAGGGUAAAAGCCUACCAAGGCGACGAUCCAUAGCUGGUCUGAGAGGAUGAUCAGCCACACUGGGACUGGGACACGGCCCAGACUCCUACGGGAGGCAGCAGUGGGGAAUAUUGGACAAUGGGCGAAAGCCUGAUCCAGCAAUGCCGCGUGAGUGAUGAAGGCCUUAGGGUUGUAAAGCUCUUUUACCCGGGAUGAUAAUGACAGUACCGGGAGAAUAAGCGCCGGCUAACUCCGUG
rnacentral:rRNA from 1 species